rnacentral:rRNA from 1 species
UGAGGAAUAUUGGUCAAUGGACGAGAGUCUGAACCAGCCAAGUAGCGUGCAGGACGACGGCCCUCUGGGUUGUAAACUGCUUUUAGUUGGGAACAAAAAAGGCGACGUGUCGCCUCUGGAGUGUACCAUCAGAAAAAGGACCGGCUAAUUCCGUGCCAGCAGCCGCGGUAAUACGGAAGGUCCAGGCGUUAUCCGGAUUUAUUGGGUUUAAAGGGAGCGUAGGCCGUGGAUUAAGCGUGUUGUGAAAUGCAGGUGCUCAACGUCUGCACUGCAGCGCGAACUGGUCCACUUGAGUGUGCGCAACGCAGGCGGAAUUCGUCGUGUAGCGGUGAAAUGCUUAGAUAUGACGAAGAACUCCGAUUGCGAAGGCAGCUUGCGGGAGCACAACUGACGCUGAAGCUCGAAAGUGCGGGUAUCGAACAGGAUUAGAUACCCUGGUAGUCCGCACGGUAAACGAUGGAUGCCCGUUGUCAGGCUGUUUCAGUCUGGUGACCAAGCGAAAGCAUUAAGCAUCCCACCUGGGGAGUACGCCGGCAACGGUG